CUGACACGAAUGGGGAAGAAGUAGGUGUUCGUUAAAGUUUAGCAGUAUUCAGGAGUAAACGUGUCCGAUUUUAGUUCCAUGCGGUCGAUGCCCAAACACCGCUGCCUGCAUUCUAGCAAGCAAGAUGGCCAAGCCGCACAAUUAGAACCCACACCGAUUGAAGUGUCAGGAGAGGUUAACAAGGGUCAGUAAGCUCAGAGGUGAUCCGCAGUUCGUGGGUUGGUUCGGUUCCUGAACAGUCCAAGGGAAUCCCACAAAUUCAUAAUUUUUGUUGUGCUUUGAAUAAAUACAGGUAUGCUCACAAUGUCACAACAACAUAAAAAAACACAUUGGUAUGACAUUUGCAGAAACAGAACAUUUUUCGAGAGUAUAAAACAAGCUAGGUUUAAGCUAGGCAGUUAUGUCU